CGGGCACACCCGCGCCCAAAAUUCAGCCCCCGAAGGUCGGGGCGCCAAGACCCCCCAGCGGAAAAAUGGCCAAAAAACGGGUGGGCUAUAGCCUUGGUGGGGGGCGUGGGCGAAGCUCGUCCGCCGGACUCGGAAUGGCCCCAGACUUUGCGGGCGGCCUCCGUGUGCCAAAAAUAGGCCACGGGCACACCCGCGCCCAAAA
rnacentral:lncRNA from 1 species